UACAGAGGGGGCAAGCGUUGUUCGGAAUUACUGGGCGUAAAGGGCGCGUAGGCGGCCUUCUAAGUCGAACGUGAAAUCCCCGGGCUCAACCCGGGAACUGCGUCCGAUACUGGAAGGCUUGAAUCCGGGGGAGGGAUGCGGAAUUCCAGGUGUAGCGGUGAAAUGCGUAGAUAUCUGGAGGAACACCGGUGGCGAAGGCGGCAUCCUGGACCGGCAUUGACGCUGAGGCGCGAAAGCCAGGGGAGCAAACGGG
rnacentral:rRNA from 1 species